rnacentral:rRNA from 1 species
UUGAACGCUGGCGGAAUGCUUUACACAUGCAAGUCGAGCGGCAGCGCGGCCUUCGGGCUGGCGGCGAGCGGCGAACGGGUGAGUAAUGCAUCGGAACAUGCCCAGUCGUGGGGGAUAACACUUCGAAAGAAGUGCUAAUACCGCAUACGUCCUGAGGGGGAAAGCGGGGAUCGCAAGACCUCGCGCGAUUGGAGUGGCCGAUGUCAGAUUAGCUAGUUGGUGGGGUAAAGGCCUACCAAGGCGACGAUCUGUAGCUGGUCUGAGAGGAUGAUCAGCCACACUGGGACUGAGACACGGCCCAGACUCCUACGGGAGGCAGCAGUGGGGAAUUUUGGACAAUGGGGGCAACCCUGAUCCAGCCAUUCCGCGUGAGUGAAGAAGGCCUUCGGGUUGUAAAGCUCUUUCGGCAGGAACGAAACGGUGGGCUCUAACAUAGUCCGCUAAUGACGGUACCUGAAGAAGAAGCACCGGCUAACUACGUG